GACGAACGCUGGCGGCGUGCUUAACACAUGCAAGUCGAACGGGAUUUAGUAAACAGAAGCCUCGGCGGAAGAUUACUAAUGAGAGUGGCGAACGGGUGAGUAACGCGUGAGCAACCUGCCUAUGACAGUGGGAUAGCCUCGGGAAACCGGGAUUAAUACCGCAUAAAAUCGUAGAAACACACGUUUUAACGGUCAAAGAUUUAUCGGUCAUAGAUGGGCUCGCGUCUGAUUAGCUAGUUGGUGAGAUAACAGCCCGCCAAGGCGACGAUCAGUAGCCGGUCUGAGAGGAUGAACGGCCACAUUGGAACUGAGACACGGUCCAAACUCCUACGGGAGGCAGCAGUGGGGAAUAUUGCACAAUGGGGGAAACCCUGAUGCAGCGACGCCGCGUGAGUGAUGAAGGUCUUCGGAUCGUAAAACUCUGUUAUUAGGGAAGAACAAAUGUAUAAGUAACUAUGCACGUCUUGACGGUACCUAAUCAGAAAGCCACGGCUAACUACGUGCCAGCAGCCGCGGUAAUACGUAGGUGGCAAGCGUUAUCCGGAAUUAUUGGGCGUAAAGCGCGCGUAGGCGGUUUUUUAAGUCUGAUGUGAAAGCCCACGGCUCAACCGUGGAGGGUCAUUGGAAACUGGAAAACUUGAGUGCAGAAGAGGAAAGUGGAAUUCCAUGUGUAGCGGUGAAAUGCGCAGAGAUAUGGAGGAACACCAGUGGCGAAGGCGACUUUCUGGUCUGUAACUGACGCUGAUGUGCGAAAGCGUGGGGAUCAAACAGGACUAGAUACCCUGGUAGUCCACGCUGUAAACGAUGGGUGCUAAGUGUUAGGGGGUUUCCGCCCCUUAGUGCUGCAGCUAACGCAUUAAGCACUCCGCCUGGGGAGUACGACCGCAAGGUUGAAACUCAAAGGAAUUGACGGGGACCCGCACAAGCGGUGGAGCAUGUGGUUCAAUUCGAAGCAACGCGAAGAACCUUACCAAAUCUUGACAUCCUCUGACCCCUCUAGAGAUAGAGUUUUCCCCUUCGGGGGACAGAGUGACAGGUGGUGCAUGGUUGUCGUCAGCUCGUGUCGUGAGAUGUUGGGUUAAGUCCCGCAACGAGCGCAACCCUUAAGCUUAGUUGCCAUCAUUAAGUUGGGCACUCUAAGUUGACUGCCGGUGACAAACCGGAGGAAGGUGGGGAUGACGUCAAAUCAUCAUGCCCCUUAUGAUUUGGGCUACACACGUGCUACAAUGGACAAUACAAAGGGUAGCGAAACCGCGAGGUCAAGCAAAUCCCAUAAAGUUGUUCUCAGUUCGGAUUGUAGUCUGCAACUCGACUAUAUGAAGCUGGAAUCGCUAGUAAUCGUAGAUCAGCAUGCUACGGUGAAUACGUUCCCGGGUCU
rnacentral:rRNA from 1 species